GCAUUUGGAGAAAUUCAGUAAAUGUUUGAUGAAACAAAUACGCGAUUGAGAGAGAAGGGUGAGAGUUGAGGGAGCGUUUUCUUUGAGCUUGAGAGAGUUUAUGAGAUGGUGAGAGACGCAGUGUGAGAGGGAGACGGAAGUGUCUGUUGUUUCGUUUUCUUUAUUUUCUUUCUUUUUUUUAUUUUUAUUUUAAACAUGAUAGGUUUUUAAAAAAACAUUAAAGGUUUUGCUUAGAAUUCCUAGGUUUAGUUAAUAAUGGUGUUUAUGUUUCCAACUUAUUCCCCAUUGAUAACCCAACAGCCAAGCGGCUGGGUUCAGUUACCGGUAGUCCAACAGUUUUCUCUUUUAUUAGUUUUUUAUUUUAAUUCUAAUUUUUAAUCCAUUUUAGUUUAUUUAUCCAGUCUAGCAUCAAAAUAACAACUAACCAUGAGUGGUCUGGUGGAGAAGGGUAGUAUCAUAGUCUUGAGUAGGGUGGGUUCAAUACUCAUGUGUGGCAUUUUUUUGGCAUUUUAUUUCUUUUAGCUAUUUUAUUUUCUUUUA
rnacentral:lncRNA from 1 species